UUAACCUUUUCAUAAAGUUCAAGCUUCUCUUCUGUUUCAAUUUCAUCUUCAAUUUUCUAUUCAAUUUCAUCCUCAAUUUUAUCUUCAUAAUUCAUGCUGCCAUAUAAACAAUGAAACAAUAAUAAAAAUAAUAAUAAAGACAUUUUACUAAAAUACAAAAAUAAAAAUACGAAUUCAUUAAUGAUCAAAAGAAAGAUAAAAAAUAAAACACCAACAAAAUAAUGUACUUAUAAAAAGAUGGUCAAACAAAAAAAAACAUAAUUUUCAAAACAUGACUGAAAUCAUCACUAUCCUCUAAUCUUUAAUCUUGAAAGCUAUCCAACUUGCUCGUUCGGC
rnacentral:lncRNA from 1 species